GGAAAUAUACAGAUAAGGAAUCAGAAUAACAUUCUAGCAGGUCCAAACACAAAGAACACCAAGCAUAGAUGAAGUAUUGUGAGAUAUCCACACACGCAAUAUUAGAACUCUAUCGAUAGGAGGUCAGUAUCUUAUAAUAUUGAUGCAGUGCAGCCAUGAAAUAAGAGACAAUAUGCGAGCCACUGACGUGUGAAUUCCAAUUUAAGUAACAGUUGUACGGUUUUAAAGGUCUGGUCAUAAGUAUUCUGAAGAGUAGUUUGGGUUGUUAUUUUACAAACUAUGGUUAGUUGUACAACAAAGGACAGAUCUGUGAGUUUUGCAGCUCCUUUGAAUUUAAAGGUUUUUGGUAACUGACAAAAUCGUAAUGACUUACUCCAGCUAUUAUACCUAUCAUAUUGUGCCUAUGCAGGAUGCUCUUUGACAGCCAAAGGCAGUUCUAUAAUAUUAUGGUCGAUUUAGAAGCUAAAUUCACUAAUAAUUGGAUCCAAUACUAUCACAUUAAUGCCACCUACAACUCUACAUCCAAUUUCGCUAAAAGUUAAAACUACUAACUACAUCCGAUUUCGUUAUACUCCAAGCGCUUAUACAAUAUCAUUGAGUAGUGUGCAUUCCUUGUACUCCAUCAGUAAUAUUGCUAAUGAAGACCCUAAUUGCUAUUAUUUUUCACUAGUCAUACAACUAGCAACUCUUAGUAAAGUGCACUUACUUUUACCCAUCACAAACCUCAAACACUUUGGUAUAUGAGUCAUCUUUUUUCUUUCUUUAAAAAAAAAAAAAAAAUUAUUGGUAAGUAACACACACGCCAGUUGGGUCUUCAAUAGUGUCCUUUACAACCUCAAAUUGAGCCAUUCUACUUUACCUAUCAAAACCCUACAACCCUGCACACUUCCCCUACCAAAUAGCCACCAAAUAACUAGUAAUAAGUCAUUCUGGGUUCAGUCCAGUUGAGCAUCAAUCCACCAUCUGAGCAGAUAAGAUCAGGUAGGGUAGGCUCACCAACUGCACUUCCAUUUCAAGUUUUUAGUCACAGGUAACACCAACGAGGCAAAGGGAAGCAUGACAAC